rnacentral:rRNA from 1 species
GACGAACGCUGGCGGCGUGCUUAACACAUGCAAGUCGAGCGGUAAGGCCCUUUCGGGGGUACACGAGCGGCGAACGGGUGAGUAACACGUGGGUGACCUGCCCUCAGCUCUGGGAUAAGCCUGGGAAACCGGGUCUAAUACUGGAUAUGACUCCAUGACGCAUGUUGUGGGGUGGAAAGCCUUGUGCGGCUGAGGAUGGGCCCGNGGCCUAUCAGCUUGUUGGUGGGGGUGAGGGCCUACCAAGGCGACGACGGGUAGCCGGGCCUGAGAGGGCGACCGGCCACACUGGGACUGAGACACGGCCCAGACUCCUACGGGAGGCAGCAGUGGGGAAUCUUGCGCAAUGGGCGAAAGCCUGACGCAGCGACGCCGCGU